GGAAACCAGCAGCUCGCCUAGCCCGCACGCACGCCCCCUCCGCUCGCUCGACGCCGCCGCACGUCGCCGGAGCCAUCGCCGUUGCCGCCCGUUCGCACGCGAAGCCUCGCGUGUGCGUUCGCCGUUCCACCGUCGUGCCAUCUUCCCUUCGUCCGCGCAUCCCAGCCAUCAUCCUUCGUCGUCCCGAGCUGUCCGCCGUCGCCAAGACCGCCGGAAAGCCGCCGGAGCCACCGCUAGCAACCGUUCGAGCAUCCACCGUCCUCCUUCACCGAUUUCGCACCCGAACCGCCCCCGGACGGCCCUCCUUCGAGCUUGGACAGCAGCUGGUUUUAGUGGGUAUGGCAGCCCGUGUUUGGCCCGUUUUGGCCGUCUUCCAGAGCACGGAUGCUCGGCCCGCCUUGAGGAAAGUCGAUCCUCGCGUCGUCCUCGUCGUUUUGGUUCGCUCGGUUCGCUAAUCCGGUGAGUUUAGCUCACUAAACCUUGAUUAUAGUAUUAAUGAUGCUUUAGGGGUGCUUAGUUUAUGUUAAGUGUUAUUAGGUGGUUAGUUUAAUUUAUUUAUUAGUGUAUAUUAUAUUAAUGUGUUUGAUUAACUUAAAUUGUGUUUAAUUUAAGGCUAAGUGAGUGGUUAUAUUAAUAUAAGCUUUGAUGUGACAUAAAGGAAUUUACUUUUGAUUUAUUUAAAUAUUUCCAAAUUAUUAAAUAAUUUAAUAAUAUAUUAUUACUCGAAAUUAUUAAAAUAUUAUUAUUUAAUUAUUUUCGGAAUAAAUUUAAUUAUUUAUUAAAUUUCGAAAAUUUUGUGAGGACCCUAAAUUUUCAGAAUUUCGUGCCGAUCGCUGCUGUGUAGUCAGAUUCUGAAAUUGACGAUUGGAUAUUAUAAAUUGAGUUUGGAUCGUGAAAGAUAUGGAUAUUAUUAUUUAAUUAAUUUCCAGAAUAAAUUUAAUUAUUUAAUAAAUUCUGAAAAUUAUUUUGGAACCUUAUUUUGUCAGAAUUUCGUGCUGAUCGUUGCUGUGCAUUUAGAAUUUGAAUUUGAUGAAUAGAUGUGGCAAAUUGAGUGUUGAUUGUGGUAAAUAGGGAUUUUAUUCAUAAAAAGCCAAGUGUCGGGUUCUGAUGCAAAAAUUGGAUUUUAAUAAUUAUAUUAAAUAGUGGGGUUUGAAAAAGUGAGAUAUUGGCUUUUUGAUUCGAAAUUAGCGUGUCCCUACACACGUGAGUAAUUUCUGGAAUAUUUUUAAUAUGAAGAAAAAUGGCCGGGAUCACUAUUUUAAGUGGAAGCAUUGAGUGAAAUAUAAAGUGUCAUGGGGCCGAGUAUGCUUUGGCUGUGUGAUAACUAAGAGGAAUCAUCCUGGGCUGUUGAGCCGGACUUGCCCCUAUAUGGGAUGCCCACGCGGUGGAUGUCGAUCGCAGUAGAGGCUAGGCCGACUGGAUUGAUGCUCCUUCGGGAAUGCCGUCGACGUAGUGACGAAGCCGUGCUCCAAGGGGGGGAGGCGAUGCCUGGCUAUGUGUCAGUAGAUAGCCGAACUGCGAGUAGGCUAUGCUCUUGUGUGGCAGUGAAUAACAAUUGGAAUGCAUGUUGAGUGUUGUUGAUGUGUCGGAUUAUGGGACGAAAUUGUGUGGCAUGAAUGGGACGUGUCAUAACGAUUUAGUCUUAUAAUCAGGACCCUCGCGGUUGUUGGUUAUACAAAAGUGAAUGCGUUCCGGUUGUUUAAGUUCCCGUUACUAUCUGUGAUUGAGUGAUUUGAAUUGUGCUAACCUGCAGGAAGGAAUUGAGGCGAGGUAAGUUCUCUGUGUGAUGUGGCUAGGCCACCCUUGGGCGUAUUUUCUUUCUAAUAGGAGUUUAGGGGGUUGAACUUACUGAGACAUUGUCUCAUCUCGGUUUGGGGAUUAAAAUUUCAGGUCCCUGGUAGAUGGAGCGGCCAUAUAGCUUUGGUUGGCCUUGAGGAGUUGCAGAGGUGAAGUCAUAAGGAUUGGAGAUCGUGUCCGACUUGUAGGUCGUAUGAUAGUUUCAUUUUAACAGCCGGUCUUUUGUAGACUUUUGGCCGUAGACCUCUGUUUGUAAUUCUGUUGAAUUGUGAAAGUGUCAUGUUGUGGUUUUGUUUCCUGCUUGUCUAUCC
rnacentral:lncRNA from 1 species